rnacentral:rRNA from 1 species
AUACGGAGGGGGCGAGCGUUAUUCGGAAUCAUUGGGCGUAAAGGGCGCGUAGGCGGCCUGACAAGUCAGGGGUGAAAUCCCUCGGCUCAACCGAGGAACUGCCUCUGAAACUGUCAGGCUUGAGGCCGGGAGAGGGUAGUGGAAUUCCCAGUGUAGCGGUGAAAUGCGUAGAUAUUGGGAGGAACACCAGUGGCGAAGGCGGCUACCUGGACCGGUUCUGACGCUGAGGCGCGAAAGUGUGGGGAGCAAACAGGAUUAGAAACCCUUGUAGUCC